AAAGAACAGUCAGACGAUCAGAGUAUCUGAAUUCUAAUCCCAGGACUUUAUGUAAUGUCUUUUGAGCUUUAGUUUUCUUACCUGUAGAAGGAGGGUAGGAAUAGCUGCUCUUUCCACCUCACAGAGUUGCUGCAAGGAAAUAAGAAACAAUCCAGGAUGUGGUUUAUGCAGGUUUCUCUCUCCCUGGAGACGGAGGCAUCACACAGCAUUUCACUCAGCUGUGUGGCUGAGCACUGACAAACUCAAUUUAAGAAAGGCAAGAGUGAGUUGACACCAUGCU
rnacentral:lncRNA from 1 species